rnacentral:rRNA from 1 species
UACGGGGGGAGCAAGCGUUGUUCGGAUUUACUGGGCGUAAAGGGCGCGUAGGCGGCCACUGCAAGUCAGUUGUGAAAUCUCCGGGCUUAACCCGGAAAGGUCAACUGAUACUGCAGGGCUAGAGUGCAGAAGGGGCAACUGGAAUUCUCGGUGUAGCGGUGAAAUGCGCAGAUAUCGGGAGGAACACCAGUAGCGAAGGCGACACUCUGGGCCGGAACUGACGCUGAGGAGCGAAAGCGUGGGGAGCAAACAGG